UACGAAGGGUGCAAGCGUUAAUCGGAAUUACUGGGCGUAAAGGGUGCGUAGGCGGUUCGUUAAGUCUGUUGUGAAAUCCCCGGGCUCAACCUGGGAAUGGCAAUGGAUACUGGCGAGCUAGAGUGUGAUAGAGGAUGGUGGAAUUCCCGGUGUAGCGGUGAAAUGCGUAGAGAUCGGGAGGAACAUCAGUGGCGAAGGCGGCCAUCUGGAUCAACACUGACGCUGAAGCACGAAAGCGUGGGGAGUAAACAGG
rnacentral:rRNA from 1 species